CGCUCUUUGCAAAAUAAUUAAAGUAUAAAGAGUUCUGCCUGCCCAGUGACGUUGUUAAACGGCCGCGGUAUCUUGACCGUGCAAAGGUAGCAUAAUCAUUUGCCUCUUAAAUGGGGGCUGGUAUGAAUGGCAAGACGGAGGUUGAGCUGUCUUUUUCUUAUACUUUGAAAUUAAUAUUCUUGUGAAGAAGCGGGAAUUAAUUCGUAGGACGAGAAGACCCUAUCGAGCUUUAGCAUAAGUAUUAAUAGCAUUUUCAUUGUGAGAAUCUAAUUUUACUAAGUUUUAGUAUAGUGAAUUUAAUUUUCUUAAGAAAAGCUAUAUAAUAUUAUUGUUUUGGUUGGGGCAACCAUGGAGAAAAUAAAUCCUCCAUUAAAAUAAAAAAAAGAUAUUACUUUGUUAAAAAUUAAAGUGAUCCGGGAUAAUGCCGAACAAAGGAAUAAGUUACCGUAGGGAUAACAGCGUAAUUUUUUUGGAGAGUUCAUAUUGAUAAAAAAGUUUGCGACCUCGAUGUUGGAUCGGGAUUUCCUAGAGAUGCAGCAGUUUCUAAGGGUUGGUCUGUUCGACCAUUAAAAUCCU
rnacentral:rRNA from 1 species